UAGGGAAUCUUCCACAAUGGACGCAAGUCUGAUGGAGCAACACCGCGUGAGUGAAGAAGGGUUUCGGCUCGUAAAGCUCUGUUGUUAAAGAAGAACAAGUAUGAGAGUAACUGUUCAUACGUUGACGGUAUCUAACCAGCAAGUCACGGCUAACUACGUGCCAG
rnacentral:rRNA from 1 species